GGCACCGCUGUCCAAGAGCCUUUUGCUGGUCCCCAGCGUCCUGUCCCUUCUGCUGACCCUCUUGCUGCCCCACUGUCAGAAGCUCUUCACAUAUGACCUCCAAGCUGUCAAGAACAACUUCCAGGUUUGGAGGCUGAUAUGCGGAAGAAUAGUUUGCCUUGACUUGAAAGAUACUUUCUGCAGUAGUCUCCUUAUUUAUAACUUCCGAAUAUUUGAAAGAAGAUAUGGGAGCAGGAAGUUUGCAUCCUUCUUGCUGGGCUCCUGGGUCUUGUCAGCCUUGUUUGACCUAAUUCUUGUGGAAGCCGUGCAGUAUUUGAUUGGUGUCACCGUGGCCAAUAAUCUGCCUUCUGGAUUUCGACACACAGCAGAGUAC